rnacentral:rRNA from 1 species
GACGUAGGGGGCCAGCGUUGCUCGGAAUUACUGGGCGUAAAGGGUCCGUAGGCGGUGCGGUAAGUCGGGAGUGAAAUCUCUGGGCUUAACUCAGAGGCUGCUUCCGAAACUACCGUGCUAGAGUGCGAGAGAGGCAAGUGGAAUUGCGGGUGUAGCGGUGAAAUGCGUAGAUAUCCGCAGGAACAUUCGAGGCGAAAGCGGCUUGCUGGAUCGCAACUGACGCUGAGGGACGAAAGCUAGGGGAGCAAACAGG